GCUAACAUUGUGCUUGCAAGCUUGUCAGCGCAGCUAUCGAAUCGAGUGAAAAAGGCCUUGGAUCCAUGUCUACACCUCCCAAACAGAGGAGCACAGCAUGAGCUCUCCCAAGCAUUCCAGGCGGUUGAUGGGGGAUGCAUCUGGUUCUUAACGUGACACGGACCACUGAGAACGCAUCAUUCUUCCUGAACCUGACAGCACACUGUAAAUAUUACAGAUUGGUCAGAGGCAAAUGAUGUGCAUGCUCCCAACAAUACAAAUCAGGCUGCCAGACCUGCUGAGCUGCUCCAGUGAUUUCUGUUCUUCUUACACGAUAAGUUAACCCUGAAUCAACCAGCUGUCACUGCAAUGUAUUCACUUAUGCCCUCUGAUCUUAGGCAUGUUAUUCAUGGGAAAGAGGUUCUCAUGAUCUACUCUGCCAUAGAGAUGUACAGCAUGGAGACACACUCUUUGGUCCAACUUGUCCAUGCCAAGCAGAUAUUCUACAGUGAUCUAGUUCCUUUUGCCAGUAUUUGGCCUUAUCGCUCUCAAUCCAUCCUAUUCAUAGAACAUAGAACAAUACAGCAC